GAUGAACGCUGGCGGCGUGCCUAAUACAUGCAAGUCGAGCGAACGGACGAGAAGCUUGCUUCUCUGAUGUUAGCGGCGGACGGGUGAGUAACACGUGGAUAACCUACCUAUAAGACUGGGAUAACUUCGGGAAACCGGAGCUAAUACCGGAUAAUAUUUUGAACCGCAUGGUUCAAAAGUGAAAGACGGUCUUGCUGUCACUUAUAGAUGGAUCCGCGCUGCAUUAGCUAGUUGGUAAGGUAACGGCUUACCAAGGCAACGAUGCAUAGCCGACCUGAGAGGGUGAUCGGCCACACUGGAACUGAGACACGGUCCAGACUCCUACGGGAGGCAGCAGUAGGGAAUCUUCCGCAAUGGGCGAAAGCCUGACGCAGCAACGCCACGUGAGUGAUGAAGAUCUUCGGAUCGUAAAACUCUGUUAUUAGGGAAAAACAUAUGUGUAAGUAACUGUGCACAUCUUGACGGUACCUAGUCAGAAAGCCACGGCUAACUACGUG
rnacentral:rRNA from 1 species